UUGAGGUGCUUGCUGUGUACUAGCUGCUGGUGCCUGCAGGCAGUCCUCGGUUGCCCAGGAAACACAGAUGGUGGAUGAAGGGCGCGCAUACAAAAGACCAUAAACCUGUGGCAGCAGCUGGAGACCGAGACCACUGAUUAAUUCAGGUCUGUGCAGCCCCGCUUUAGUCAAAGACGUCUCUGUUCUCUCUAAUACCUCCCAUCCAUUUUCUUUGUCCUGGGGCUUCCGUCUUCCACUUUAUCCUGUUUUCCCUGGACUGGUCUGCCGUCAGUGCGCAGCUGUUGUUGGCACUCCCACAUCUGCUUGUCUCGGAUCGGCAGCCAUGUAGACGACGCUCUGCCGCGGCUCGUGUUAGUGCGUAGCGUGUAGGUCCAGGGGGCGAGCAGCCUUUUACUGCGGGCUAAUCACUGCACACACACGGCGUGAAUUUGCAGGGUCGGCAGCAUGGAAGAAGAAGGAGAGGAAGAAGAAAAAGAAGAAAGAGAAGAAGUGAUGUUUUCGCACCGUCUGAUACUGCGGGACAGGUGCAUGUGAACCUGGAGAUCACUGGUUACCUUAUGGUUGGGGGAUUCAUCUACAGAGCUGCAGGCACGUCACCAGUCAGGAAACUGGGAGGAUCCAAAUGGGAACCAACAGCAGUACAGGUUAUGUGUACAGGCUGGAUUAUAUUUAUCACAAAUCAUGACGGAGGGUAGUUUUUUAAUAGUACACAACAUCAAAUAGAUAAUUUAGCAGUAUUACUCAGUCAGUUAGAUAACAUGUCUUUUAGCAGUGGGUGUAUUUCAAUGUAAUUUGUGUGAGACUAAAUAAAAACAGCAAGGGGAAACAAUGAAACGAAAGCACAAGUAAUCCCUGGUGUAUCUUUGGAGGACAGUUGGGUUGCGUCCCACUUUUCUGCUGCUUUGUCUUGUGUGUUCCUCUCCAGUUACACUGAUGAACAAAGCAGAACCGGGGCUCGCGCUGGACCUCACGAGCUGCACGGCUCCACCGCCCUCCGCUGUGCUGCCUCACAGACUGGUACAGGAGCUGUCGAGCUGUCGUGUCCUUUCACCUGCAGUGAUCGAUGCAUGCUGCCACCACUGCCGUCCUGUACCUUCAGAAGGAGAGGAUCCAUGUCCAAGUGUUCCCCCACCAGGAGAUGACUUCUGCUGCCUCUGUGUAUCAGUGAAAAGGGCUUUGAAGAGUUCAAAAUGCCACCACCGCUUUGUAGUCAGUGUCAGCAUGAUCAGAUUUAACAGGAAGGUAUUUCACGGGUGGUGUUCUGAGUCCAAAAUAAUCUGCUGCAGUGUUCUCUCCUGUUUCUCUCAAAUGUGCGUAAUUUCUGAGCUGUAACACUGAUAUAGCCUCAUCCACCCCCACUCUCAUGUUUUUUUUUUUUUGGUUUUUUUUUGGGGCUGAUCACAAACACAGACACUGCAGCCAUCAAACAACCCGCUCAUGCUUGUUUUCUUCAGCCGCCUUGUGCAGUGACCUCCUCGCUCCAUUACCUUGGCCACUCUAACACUGCGGCCACUUCUCCCCACAUAAGACACUUUAAAUGCAUCAUAAGUGGUGUUUUAACAUGUGUUAACUUCUCAGCAAAGCGAGUCUGUAUCCAUGCCAGAUCCAGAACUGGAAAGCUUUAAUGUUUCAAGCCUGUAAUGUUUUUAAAAAAAAAAUCUGCUUCAGUGUGUGACUAGUUUUCUCACAUUAUGACAAUGUGUAAUUCUCACAGUAUGUUCUUUGUUUGUCUUGAAACAUCUUAAUUUGGGUGUGAAACCAGCUACUUUUUACAGUACACUCUGUGUAUUUUUACUGUAGCGUGUGGGCGUGUGUGUGUCUGCGUGAGUGCAUGUGUUUGUGUGCAUGUGCUCUAUUUGUGUGCGUGUUUUUUCUUGUACGUGUGCAUGUGUCCGUCUGAUAAAACACAUUUGUAAUGGGCCUGAAGCUACUAGCUGCUUUUCAGUGGUUUUCUCAUUGCUGCACAGAUUUGACAAAAAAAAAAUGCCUGAGUCUCUUCUUUCAGCACACUGGAUGUACCAGACAAAGGAUAAAAACCUUAUUUACAAAUGAUUCUUAGCAUUUGUUACGAGCCUCAUUGAAGUACCAGUUAGGUGGGGGUUCUUGUGAUUUAGAUAAUCACAAGAAUGUCGCUGGAAAUUAAUGGUGUGUAGUUUUCUAAAUGGUGCCUGCUGGCGUUAAUUAAACUGUCCUGAUGCCUACAGCCCCAUCAUCUGAUACUUCAGCAAAUUACAGCAAAUGCUAAUAAUUAUGUGCAAAUAGCUUUUUACCCAGGUCUGGAUUCUACUAACUGUAUCUCACUAAUAUCUAACAAUACUAAUGUCUGCUAACAGUCGGAUGAUUACUAACCCGUACUCUGAAUGCUGAUGGCUGGCCUUGUUCUUUCUAACCCACUGACUAACCCUCUGCUUUAUGCCCGCAGUCCGACGCACACACACUCCUCUCUCAUGAUCCUGCAAUCCUUCUUCAAGAAAUCACAGACUAAGAUGAAUUAUUAAAGGCGAAAAUCAAUGAAAGCAGAUAAAGUGAGCAAGUCAAGAAGGGUUUCAGGACUUGGGAAGGGAAAUGUUAUUAACCACUAGAUGAAACGAUGAGCAGAAAGAGCUGCUGAUAUCAAACUGGGUUGACCACAUACUUCAGAAGAAGGCUUGCAAAACCAAUUAUGAUCUGAUCCUAAAUAUUAUCAAAGCACAGUGUUGCACUUCACAGGCUAAAUUCACAUCUUCAGAGGCCGUCUUUCUGUCUCUACCUGUGUGCUGUGUGGUCAACCCUUGCAGGUGAGUGCCUGGCUUGUUGUCACCACAGGCCACACAAACCUCAAUUCCACUACUAACUUAUUUUGGUGUUGAUACUAACAGUGGUGAGGCUGUAAAGGCCCACCUGUUGCUCUUACUAACAUCUGUGUUCUUUCUGACUGAAACAUCCUGAUGUCUGUAAUCAAAUUAUUCCGUCUCUUUCUUAGUCUUUAAUUAAAUCAGAGCAUGCCUUGUGGUACUAGUGAUGUUUAUAAAAUUACAUUACAUGGAAGCUUUUAUCCAAAGCAUCUUCUAGUGCCACGAGUGUAUGCUUUUUAGCAAUCGGAACUAAGCACUAACCGUGUCAUUGACAUGUUUGAUAGAAAUCCUGAUAAGCAAGCUAGACAAGUUUUGUUCGCUCAACAAGCUACUAACAUCGCCUAAAGUUGAAUUAACAGGUACUAACCAAAGAGCUUUUAUUAGCUCUCUGCAAACUAACAAACUAACCUACUAAUAAACUAAUAAUCUAACAAAAACUAACUAAAAUCACUAACUUUGUGCUGAGUGAAGCACCCUGAUUUGGAGGAGUGGCAUCACUUAUUAAGUACUAACAGAAUUCUUAAGAGUCACUGAUUGAAUGUGCCUGUUCAUGUGUGUGUGUAAGAGAGAGAAAGAGCACAGGAGAUUGUGAGUGUGUGUGUUUGUUCUUCAAACAAUAAUUUAAAGGAGUACUUCACCCCCUAAAGGAUCAUUUGUAUAUCAAUUACUCACCCCAUGUUAGGUUGAAUUUGUGAAGGAAACUUUGUUUUUCUUACAUGCCUCCAUGUAGAACAAAGAGUCCAAUAAUAGAGAAUAAUCUUGAUGAAUUGAAGUCAUAGGGGGCCACGCUUGCCCAGGUGCACUACUCUUUUGUGUGUGGGACUGUUUUAAAUGUUUUGGCUAAAAUGCAUAUGUUUGGGAAGUUCUGAGUAUAUGACUCGAUAAAUUGGAUCAUACUGCCUAAGUUGUGUAAGAGUCAGUUGACGGAUGAUUUGAUAUAGUUUGCUGUUGUUAAAUGCCGGCCCCUUUAACUCCAAUUUAUUGAGAAUUUCUCAGUUUUUGGAUUCUUCGUUCACCUUGGAGCCAUGCAAGAAAAACAAAUUUUUCUUCAUGAAUUUAACAAAACACAGGAUGAGUAAUUGAUUUACAAAUGAUCACUUAGGGGAUGAAGUGCUCCUUUAACAUACCAAUGGAGAUUAUGUUCUUUAGAACAGUGUUAGCCAAAUGUAUCCACAAUUGCUCUUCCAUUGGAGCACCAGGAUACUUAUACAACACACCUUUAGCUUCUAAAACAAUACACUGUGUGGAAGUAUCAUGCAUGGAAAGAAAAAUAAAUUCAGUGUCCAUAACUAUUUUUGUAAUUUAUUGCCAAUUGACCAGCUGUCUUUAUGACAUACUUUUGUAAUAAAUGUUUUUCACAUAUCAAACAAACAAA